GACGAACGCUGGCGGCGUGCUUAACACAUGCAAGUCGAACGGAAAGGCCCUGCUUUUGUGGGGUGCUCGAGUGGCGAACGGGUGAGUAACACGUGAGUAACCUGCCCUUGACUUUGGGAUAACUUCAGGAAACUGGGGCUAAUACCGGAUAGGAGCUCCUGCUGCAUGGUGGGGGUUGGAAAGUUUCGGCGGUUGGGGAUGGACUCGCGGCUUAUCAGCUUGUUGGUGGGGUAGUGGCUUACCACGGCUUUGACGGGUAGCCGGCCUGAGAGGGUGACCGGCCACAUUGGGACUGAGAUACGGCCCAGACUCCUACGGGAGGCAGCAGUGGGGAAUAUUGCAGAAUGGGCGGAAGCCUGAUGCAGCAACGCCGCGUGCGGGAUGACGGCUUUCGGGUUGUAAACCGCUUUCGACUGUGACGAAGCGUGAGUGACGGUAAUGGGUAAAGAAGCACCGGCUAACUACGUG
rnacentral:rRNA from 1 species